GCGUGGACCCUGGACUUGUGCUCCUAUGUCAUUUAUCCCAGCUGUUCCCGGUUUCCCCUUCUGAGCCAGGUAUCUUGGCCUCCUCGGUGGCCACAGCUUUCUGCUAAACCUCGGUCUUCUUCCCGGCAGGAGAGACCUUUGACCCAUGUGCGUCCUGAUCCGUGGCCAGGAGCGUACCCAGUACGGCGGUGCGCCACUCUGAAGGCCUGACCCAGACAUCAGUGCUCCAUGGGAAUGCUGCAAAGACCCGGGGUUCUGAAAAGAUGGCCAUGCUAAUUCCUCUGUUGGUGUUUACCCAAGACAUGAAGACCAGAACAGGAAGAGACACUCGUGGGCUAUUCAUAAUCAACCAACUCAAUCCGUGAAUGGCAAAGUUGAUGGUGAUAAUUUUCCCUCAGAAACUGUCCCUCAGAAUGAAAAGUAGCCCAUGAUGAAUGUGGCCCUCUAAGCACAUCUCAGAAGCACAAUGCCAAGGGAAAGAAACUCCUUAAAUGACAUCGUGGGGUUGGCAGGAGAAUAGAAACAGAAAUCAGACCCAUGGUUGUCAGAGAUGGAAACACAGAAUGGGAUUUGUUUGCAAAGUGUCUCAAAGAACUUUGUGGAAAGAACAGCCAUGGUCUAAGCUGUAAUACUGGUCAAAGCUUGUUUCAUGGUACUCAAAGAAGAUGAACUUAAGGAUUUAAAUACUUAUCAGUAAGCUUGAGUUAAAAGGGGUGUGAAGUCCUCAAAUAACCAAACAUAGACUUGGAUGAUUCAGCCCACUUCUAGGCACAUAACAGAGAGGAUGGAAAGCAGGUCUGUAUGCCAAAUGCGCAUGACACAGUUCUCACGGGCACUAAAAGGUUGGGCCCAGCCCAGAAGGCACCAAUCAACAGGUGCAUGGAUACAGCAAAUGUGACAGGUACUGCCUUUUUCAAGUAAUGGGACGNNNNNUCCUGAGUUCAAUUCCCAGCAACCACAUGGUGGCUCACAGCCAUCUGUAAUGGAAUCUGAUGCCCUCUUCUGGUGUGUCUGAAGACAGCGAGAGUGUACUCAUACACAAAAUAAACAAAUCUUCAAAAAAAUGUGAAGACACAAUACCCUGGGACUAGGUGUGAUUGUCCUUGUCCCAAGCUCCUCCCAUCCAAAGGACCACCCUACUUGUCUCUUCAGGUUGCCCCACCCGUCUCCUUUUAGCCAGACCUCCUUUUAGCCAGACCGAUGAUUCUGCUUUUCUACCAUUAUAAUCAGCAUUCUCUGUCUGAUAGGAAUCUUCUAGAGAAGGGAGGCUUAGAGCAUGCACAUGCACACACACACACACACACACACACACACACACACACACACACACACGAGUUUAUUCUAGAGAAUUGGUUCAUAGAGCCAUGGAGGCUAACAUGCCCCAUAUUCUGCAAUUCUCUGGCUGGAAACCCAGGCGAGAUAAUGGUGUAAUUCUAGUUGGAAGCUAGCAGACCUGAGACCCAGUGAGACCCAGUGUUUCUCUUUGACUCCAAACGGAGAAGAGAAGCCAUUGUGAAGACCACAAGGCAGAAGGAGCGCCUUCUUGCUCAUGGAAGUAUCACUCUUCAUUGUCUGUUGAAGACUUCUGGACUGACUGGAGGAAGCCGGUCCUCACUUAGGAGGUCUUUUUCCUUCAAUCACUCUACCAACUUAAAUAUUGAUCUCACCCAGAACAUCUCACAUGCAAAUCCAGAAUCGGUCCACUUAGGCUGACACAUAAACUUGUUGUGUUGGGUAAUUUUAUGUCAACUUGACACAAGCUAGAAUUAUCUGAGAAGCAACCACAAUUGAGGAAAUGCCUCCAUAGAUUGGCCUGUAGGUAAGUCUGUGGGGGCAUUGUCUCAAUUAAUGAUUGACGUAGGAGUGGGCAGCCUACAGGGAUGCUGCUACCCCUGGGCAAGUGAUCCCCAGUCGUAUAAGAAAGUAGCCCAAGAGAGCUGGCUAGCAAACGGAUUAAUGUUCACAUGGCUUCUGCUCCCGUUCCUGCCUCCAAGUUCCUGCCCUGGCUUCCUUCAGUGAUGGACUUAUACACUCUAAGGUGAAAUAAACUCUUUCCUUCUC
ensembl:lincRNA 1700112J16Rik RIKEN cDNA 1700112J16 gene